rnacentral:rRNA from 1 species
UACGGAGGAUGCAAGCGUUAUCCGGAUUUAUUGGGUUUAAAGGGUGCGCAGGUUGUUUGAUAAGUCAGUGGUGAAAGUCUGUCGCUUAACGGUAGGAUUGCCAUUGAUACUGUUGGACUUGAAUAUGGAUGAGGUAGGCAGAAUGUGUAGUGUAGCGGUGAAAUGCAUAGAUAUUACACAGAACACCGAUUGCGAAGGCAGCUUACUAAUCCAUCAUUGACGCUGAGGCACGAAAGCGUGGGGAUCAAACAGGA